GCCGUCACUCAAUAGAUAAAAGUUAUUUUAAAGAUAAUAUGCUGAUCUUCUCUAAGAGUUCACAUCGACGGGAAGGUCUGACAUCUCGAUAUCGGCUUUUCGCCACCCGAGACCGUAGUAUGUUUCAAGGUUUGGGCUAUUCUCCCAUUUGGGACGUGAGCAGGGUUCAGAAA